UUCUUCUUCCUUCUUCCAUUUCUUCUCCUCCUCUUCUCUCGCAACGCAAGAAAAGGAGGAGGGCUCGGGAAAGACGGGUAACAGCUGACGGCGCCCAGCGGCCGGCCUACGGCACCCACGACCGUGCUUGCGGUUGUGCCCGUGGCCACGCUGGCAUCCCACGUCCCACGGCCGACGACCCGCGGUUUCGGCUGUGGAUCAACCAUCGGGCGUUACCUGCUUUGAAGAAGAACGUCCGCCUCCUACUCCGGCAACGCAGCCCUUUGCUCCGGCGACGCAGGCCUAAUACCAAAUCUUGUCAACCGGGGAGAGUUGUGAGGAAGGGAGACAAUGGAGGAGAAACAGAGGAAGGAGGGUGGUGAAAAGCCUUAUCGAUCGGGCUUCUUGUAGCCUCUGAUUGCUGGGGAAGGCGGACGGUUGUAACCGCCCACCAUCAAGCGAUUACAAAUGCCCGCCCUUUGGUGUGAUGGCCUCUCCCCGUUUCUGAGUCAGAAACGGGGACGGUUAUCACAGCUAUAGCUUCUUCUGAAUUGGCAUACUUUUCAACUCGAGCCAACAGCUUAGUGCAGUCCUUUGAGAACCUUUUUUCUAGAGAGAAAAGGAAACAGGAUGGCCUCAAUCUACAAUUCAUAGUGAACUUAGCAACCAACUGAUUUAUGUCACAAACUUCUAUGUAGCCAUAUCAAAGCACCAUAAUAUCAUCACAAAUAAGAUCCCAACAUCUCUUGAAGAACACAAAUAUAUAUAAACCCAUGCAAACCAGGGGUCUUCAUAUCUCCAAAGGAGAAGACUGCUGCUUUUUUUUAUCUCUUCAAGUGUAAAUUCAUUAUCCAACUCACUAAGAACAAUCGACUGAUUCCAAUACAGAGUUGAUUGAUAAUUUGGGAUUAGAAGGGAGCCCAAAUAGGACUUCAGGUAUGAAAGAAGUUUAAGUUUGAUAUCCUCUUGGUUAUGAUACUCCACUCCUUCAUCCAACAAGCAUGAGAUUAAAUUUCUUCUUUUUCUUCCUAGGGCUACUUUAUGGAACUAUGAUGAGUUCUGGUCCACUUUUUGUAGCCAAGUGAUUUUAUCCCUUUGCCUCCAAUAUAACUCUUCUUUUGUAUAUAGGUCUUCCAAUGGUUGCUUCAAAAUUCUUCUCGCAUUAAACUCGUUCACCAACAGGGCUGAGAUUUUCUCCUUCCUGUUAAGAAUAUUCACAUCAUGCAACAAAUUUUCCUUCAGUUCUCUAUCGGAAUUUCCUUUUUUUUAGAGUGAGACCAAGUUCAAAGAGCAGAAUGGGCUCUCCUAAGGUUGUCGACCCACACAGCAGCAGGAUUGGUGAUCCCUUUGACUUUCUUCCAACGACUCACAAUAAUGUCAUCUAGGUCCAGCUCCUUCGUCCACCAUGCCUCGAAUCUGAAAAUGUUUGAGCAUUGAAACUUGAAAUUGCAGGAUAGAGCAACAGUUACAUGGUCAGAGAAGGUGCAAGUCAAAGCCUUCUGAGUAGAUCCUAGAGUAAAUCCUCCCACUCAGCUGAAAGGAGGAAUCGAUCAAGCCGUGCGGUGGAUGGGUGCUCUCUUCCAUUGCUCCAAAAAAAGUCCCGCCUUUUAAAUCCAAGUCAACCAGACCAAGAGAAGAGAUGACGUCCAUAAAUAAAAGAUUAUCCUUUAUGCUUUGAAGAUUACCUUUUCUAUCUUCAGCGGACUCCGUGAUUUUGAAGUCACCUCCAAAGAGCCAUGCACCUCGUAAACCGUGAUGUUGAAUAUCAGUGAAUUCAUGGAGGAAUGAAUCUCUGAGUGCUCUCUUAUUGGGUCCAUAGAUUGACGAUAAGAUCUUUUUUCAAGGCAUGUUAAUGAAGGAUGCCCCCUGGUGAUCCGUCUGCAUCCAAUUGAAUUUGAGCCCAAUCAUCUAACCUGGAUCCACCCAAAGAACGGAGAAACAAAGGAGAUUGAGAAGCAAUUUUUGAUGGUAGCACUACUGAAAAUUUGAUUUGAAACACAAAAGUUACAGUCGCCCCCUCCCCUACUACUGCUGGCGGAAUAAGGUUACUAGUUGCUUUGGAUAAGCUUUCAAGCUCCAGGCCAGUCCCUAUGGAUGAUUUUAUUGCAAUGUGCACCGAUCGAGCUAACAGCAUCUCUAAAUUGUCUUCCGCGGUUGGAUGUUCUGAGGGUGUCCAGUGACAAGAAAGAAUAGUGGUGAAUGAAGGCUUUAAACCGGUGACAUCCGGUGGAUCACUGUUCCAAUUCUUUGUGAUAAAACUGGAUGCUCUCAAGCAGGUAAAAGAGCUUUGAGCAACGUUCUUUGAUGUUCUAAGCCUAGCCGGAUUGCACUACUCUAAAAGGAGAGAAAAUAUAAAGGUUGGUUCUACAUUUCAUUAGAUGAUUUCAUCUAGAUGCAUGCAAGCUUGCAAGUUCAUGUCUUCAGACGUGUGCAUAUUUGUUUCCAUUCUUUGAAUGCUAAAUAAACAAAGUGGCAAAAAUUCCUUA